rnacentral:lncRNA from 1 species
CGUCCGCUGUCCCUGGAGCAGCCAGUGCGGCUCCACGGAGUGCACUCCAAGUUGCACUCCACGAAACACGGCCACCACGGCGGCGUAGCUGGAGGGGGCGACAGUGGCGCCACCGUUGUCACUGCCGUGGUGUCCAUCUGCGUGCUGGCUGGACUUCUGUUCUCCGUGGUGCUCAGUAGGUGGAGGACCAACGGCGUGGCGGAUUCGCCCGCUCCCCGAAGGAGCAAGCAAAACAAACAAGGCUACGUUGUGGUGUCCCAGUCAUCUCCAGAAAACUCGUCACCUGUUUGAAUGCUUCCAGUUCAACACACCGCGCAACAUUCGUGGUUACAAGUGCAUACGGCCAACCGCAUUCAAUCUUCAGUGUGACUGGUUGUUUAGCUGGACACGUAUACAAGCGUGCGCUUCUAGUGAGCACCAUGCGACGAAACCUUCUAUCCAAGUUACGUCAAAAUGAACUGCUAGCACGACGCUUAAAACGUGGCAAGGCUGUAAAACUGAGUGAUUGUGACUGCUUCCGAAGUUUUCGAAACGUCCUGGCUCCUUCGGGUAUGUCUUCAAGAACCUGCGGUUCUCCAUAGUGAAGCAUUGCGAGAACGCCCAAGUGGGAAAACCUCUGGUCAUCGGCGAGCACAUUGGAACUUUUGAAGGUGUGAUGUGUUCGGCGCGUGCCGUACCCAGCGAGUGCAAGCCAGCUGUCCUCACGUGGUCUUGAAGAAAACUUCCAAGCGCUCGUGUGACUGUGAAGUGCGGUGCAUGCACAAAAGGAAGACGAAAUAGUUAAGCGUGACAAAAUAUGCUUCAGUGUGCGGUGUAUACGCGAGAGUUGUACGCUUUUGUCUUGAUGCGAAAUCAUCGCGCGCUUGGUGGAGCGCCUUACCAUGCCAUGUGUGUCUUCGAACAGUUCUCAUUGCGUGACUCGCGUUGUUCUUACGUACAAGAUGUAACCGAACUGGCUCUUGA